AUGGAAGGUGUUCUACGGAAAUCAGGUUUUUGCAAAAUAUGGACUGACUGGGUGAUGCAAUGUGUUNNNNNNNNNNGAUCUGUUAGAUAUUCGGUGAGAUGCAAUGGUGAGCUCCUAGAACCAUUCUGCCCAUCUAGGGGCCUGAGGCAAGGGGAUCCACUAAGUCCAUACCUUUUUCUUUUUGUGGCUGAUGGCUUGGUGCAUUUGCUGAAAAAGGAAAUGGCAGAGAACAAGAUUACGCCCAUUAAGGUUGCAAGAAAUAGCCCGGGGAUUUCAAAUCUCCUGUUUGCUGACGACAGUUUAAUUUUCUUUAAGGCCAGCCCGGAGCAAGCGGAAGCUAUCAAGAGAGUUCUUGCCUCUUUCCAAAAGUGUACAGGGCAGCUUCUAAGUGCUAGCAAGUGCUCGAUUCUAUUUAGUGAAGCAUGCCCAGCCCAAACAAGAGAGGACAUAAAAACCAUUCUCAGAGUGCAAUCAGAAACUUUUGAAAGUAAGUACCUGGGUCUGCCCACCCCGGAAGGAAGAAUGUAG
rnacentral:rRNA from 1 species